rnacentral:rRNA from 1 species
UGGGGAAUAUUGGACAAUGGGCGAAAGCCUGAUCCAGCAAUGCCGCGUGUGUGAAGAAGGUCUUCGGAUCGUAAAGCACUUUCGACAGGGACGAUGAUGACGGUACCUGUAGAAGAAGCCCCGGCUAACUUCGUGCC